UACGGGGGGGGCGAGCGUUGUCCGAAGUUACUGGGCGUAAAGCGCGUGUAGGCGGGCUGUUAAGUCCGCUGUGAAAGCCCGGUGCUCAACGCCGGAGGGUCGGUGGAUACUGGCAGUCUUGAAGUGGCUAGGGGGAAAUGGAAUUACCGGUGUAGCGGUGAAAUGCGUAGAUAUCGGUAGGAACACCAGUGGCGAAGGCGGUUUCCUGGAGCCCACUUGACGCUGAGACGCGAAAGCUGGGGGAGCAAACGGG
rnacentral:rRNA from 1 species